GACGAACGCUGGCGGCGUGCCUAAUACAUGCAAGUCGAACGCAGUGGGGACGGGUGAGUAACACGUGGGUAACCUCCCAUCAGAGGGGAUAACACUUGGAAACAGGUGCUAAACUGAUAUUGAAGGAUGGACACGCGGUGCAUUAGCUAGUUGGUGAGGAAACGGCUCACCAAGGCCACGAUGCAUAGCCGACCUGAGGGGGUGAUCGGCCACACUGGAACUGAGACACGGCCCAGACUCCUACGUGAGGCAGCAGUGGGGAAUCUUCGGCAAUGGACGAAAGUCUGACCGAGCAACGCCGCGUGAGUGAAGAAGGUUUUCGGAUCGUAAAACUCUGUUGUUAGAGAAGCGGUAUCUAACCAGAAAGCCACGGCUAACUACGUGCCAGCAGCCGCGGUAUAC
rnacentral:rRNA from 1 species